rnacentral:rRNA from 1 species
AGUCUGGUGCCAGCAGCCGCGGUAAUUCCAGCUCCAAUAGCGUAUAUUAAAGUUGUUGCAGUUAAAAAGCUCGUAGUUGAAAUUUUGAUUGUAGCGGUCAGUCUCACAACAGUGAGUGCUAGAUGUGCUGUGGUCAUGUUUCGUUGGAACGUGUGUGGCAUUGAGUUGUCGUGCAUGGGAAGACGAUCGUUUACUGUGAAAAAAUUAGAGUGUUCAAAGCAGGCUUAUGCCGUUGAAUAUAUUAGCAUGGAAUAAUAAGAUAGGACCAGGGUACUAUUUUGUUGGUUUGUGCACCUUGGUAAUGAUUAAUAGGGACAGUUGGGGAUAUUCGUAUUGCGGUGUCAGAGGUGAAAUUCUUGGAUUUCCGCAAGACGAGCUACUGCGAAAGCAUUUAUCAAGGAUGUUUUCAUUAAUCAAGAACGAAAGUUAGGGGAUCGAAGAUGAUUAGAUACCAUCGUAGUCUUAACCAUAAACUAUGCCGACAAGGGAUUGGCAGGGUGUGUUUAUGCCUCUGUCAGCACCUUAGGAGAAAUCAUAAGUUUUUGGGUCCCGGGGGGAGUAUGGUCGCAAGGCUCAAACUUAAAGACAUUGACGGAAGGGCACCACCAGGAGUGGAGCCUGCGGCUUAAUUUGACACAACACGGGAAAACUUACCAGGUCCAGACAUAGUGAGGAUUGACAGAUUGAGAGCUCUUUCUUGAUUCUAUGGGUGGUGGUGCAUGGCCGUUCUUAGUUGGUGGAGUGAUUUGUCUGGUUAAUUCCGUUAACGAACGAGACCCCCGCCUGCUAAAUAGAUGGUCUAGUGAUUUUUCACUGGAAACAUCUUCUUAGAGGGACGUGCGUUCUAUUAGACGCAGGAAGAUGGGGGCAAUAACAGGUCUGUGAUGCCCAUAGAUGUCCUGGGCCGCACGCACGCUACACUGAUGCAUUCAACGAGUUGCCUUCACCGAGAGGUGUGGGAAAUCUUGGAAUGUGCAUCGUGAUAGGGAUAGAUUCUUGUAAUUUUUAAUCUUGAACGAGGAAUUCCUAGUAAACGCAGAUCAUCAAUCUGCAUUGAUUACGUCCCUGCCCUUUGUACACACCGCCCGUCGCACCUACCGAUUGAAUGGUCCGGUGGAGCCUCGGGAUUGUGAUGACUUUUCUUCAUUGAGAGGUCGUUGCGAGAACUUGUCUAAACCUUAUCAU